rnacentral:rRNA from 1 species
GAUCAUGGCUCAGGAUGAACGCUAGCGACAGGCUUAACACAUGCAAGUCGAGGGGCAGCAUAGAAGUAGCAAUACUUGGUGGCGACCGGCGCACGGGUGAGUAACGCGUAUGCAACCUACCUAUCAGAGGGGAAUAACCCGGCGAAAGUCGGACUAAUACCGCAUAAAACAGGGGCACCGCAUGGUGAUAUUUGUUAAAGAAAUUCGCUGAUAGAUGGGCAUGCGUUCCAUUAGGUAGUUGGUGAGGUAACGGCUCACCAAGCCGACGAUGGAUAGGGGAACUGAGAGGUUGGUCCCCCACACUGGUACUGAGACACGGACCAGACUCCUACGGGAGGCAGCAGUGAGGAAUAUUGGUCAAUGGGCGGGAGCCUGAACCAGCCAAGUCGCCGUGAAGGAAGAAGGAUCUAUGGUUCGUAAACUUCUUUUGCAGGGGAAUAAAGUGCAGGACGUGUCCUGUUUUGUAUGUACCCUGAGAAUAAGGAUCGGCUAACUCCGUGCCAGCCGCUGC